GAUCAUUAAUGAAUUGCAAUGGGGGCUGAUGCUGGUAGUCGAAUGUCCAUUUGGUUGCAUAUGUGCUCGCCCCCGACAAUCCUUAAUCCCAAACACCUGUGCAUCUUCUGAGGGGUCUCCGAGUUCUGUCUCGAUUCCCUUCUUUCUUUUAUACACGCUGCUGAUAAUGUUGAACGUGCUCGUGCCGUCAUGGCCAUUAACAUAUAAUACAACUUUUAACAACGGAUCUCUUGGCUCUCGCAUCGAUGAAGAACGCAGCGAAAUGCGAUAAGUAAUGUGAAUUGCAGAAUUCAGUGAAUCAUCGAAUCUUUGAACGCACCUUGCGCUCCCUGGUAUUCCGGGGAGCACGCCUGUUCGAGUGUCGUGAAGUUGUCAAACUUGAAUACUUUUUUCUGUUAAAAAGUCAUUCGGGCUUGGUUAUUGGGCUUUGCCGUGUCCUUCUUUGGGACGGCUUGCCUUAAAAGCAUUAGCUGGCUCCGUAAUGUAGCAUUGGGUUCUGCUCAGCGUGAUAAAGAUUUUGACCGCUGAGAACAUCCUUUGGGGUGGCCUAGUCUCGUUCGGGCUGCUUCUAAUACGGACAUCGUUCCACUUUCAAUUUUGACCUCGAAUCAGGUGGGACUACCCGCUGAACUUAAGCAUAUCAAUAAGCGGAGGAAAAGAAACUAACAAGGAUUCCCCUAGUAACGGCGAGUGAAGCGGGAAAAGCUCAAAUUUAAAAUCUGGCAGUCUUUGAUUGUCCGAGUUGUAAUCUAGAGAAGCGUUUUCCGCGCUGGACUGUGUACAAGUUUCCUGGAUACGGAACAUCAUAGAGGGUGAGAAUCCCGUCCUUGACACAGACUACCAGUGCUUUGUGAUGCGCUCUCAACGAGUCGAGUUGUUUGGGAUUGCAGCUCAAAAUGGGAGGUAAAUUCCUUCUAAAGCUAAAUAUUGGCGAGAGACCGAUAGCGAACAAGUACCGUGAGGGAAAGAUGAAAAGCACUUUGGAAAGAGAGUUAAACAGUACGUGAAAUUGUUAAAAGGGAAACGCUUGAAGUCAGUCACGUUUGCUUGGAGUCAGCCUUGCUUCGGUUUGGUUUAUUUCCUCGCAGACGGGCCAGCGUCCAUCUCGUUCGUUGGAGAAGGGGUGGAAGAAUGUGGCUCCUUCGGGAGUGUUAUAGCUUCUGCUCGCAUGCAAGGAGCAAUAUGGAGUGGUACAGCACGCUUCGGUGGUGCUUGUGCUGGCAUAAUGGCUUUAAACGA
rnacentral:rRNA from 1 species